UAUUAAUGUGAUGAUCUAUAUACCGCCCCAGUCUGAAUGUCUGACGAUUGUAUUAUCUCUGAAAAGAA